ncrna:Fusobacterium perfoetens ATCC 29250 S4-Fusobacteriales ribosomal protein leader
CUGUAAAGAUAUGUGUGGCUGUAGGGCCUUUUCUUAGGUUAUUCUAAGGCAUAUCGAGGAA